rnacentral:rRNA from 1 species
GAUGAACGCUGGCGGCGUGCUUAACACAUGCAAGUCGAACGGUGACGCAGGAGCUUGCUCUUGUGGAUCAGUGGCGAACGGGUGAGUAACACGUGAGCAGCCUGCCCCUGACUCUGGGAUAAGCGCUGGAAACGGCGUCUAAUACUGGAUAUGUGAUGUGACCGCAUGGUCUGCAUCUGGAAAGAAUUUCGGUUGGGGAUGGGCUCGCGGCCUAUCAGCUUGUUGGUGAGGUAAUGGCUCACCAAGGCGUCGACGGGUAGCCGGCCUGAGAGGGUGACCGGCCACACUGGGACUGAGACACGGCCCAGACUCCUACGGGAGGCAGCAGUGGGGAAUAUUGCACAAUGGGCGGAAGCCUGAUGCAGCAACGCCGCGUGAGGGAUGACGGCCUUCGGGUUGUAAACCUCUUUUAGCAGGGAAGAAGCGAAAGUGACGGUACCUGCAGAAAAAGCACCGGCUAACUACGUGCCAGCAGCCGCCGUAA